rnacentral:rRNA from 1 species
AGAGUUUGAUCCUGGCUCAGGAUUAACGCUAGCGGCAGGCCUAAUACAUGCAAGUCGAGGGGCAGCAUUGUCUUCGGACAGAUGGCGACCGGCGAACGGGUGCGUAACACGUAUGCAACCUACCUUUUACUGGAGCAUAGCCCGAAGAAAUUCGGAUUAAUACUCCAUAAUACAGGGGGCCCACAUGGGUCUAUUUGUUAAAGCUCUUUUGCGGUAGAAGAUGGGCAUGCGGCCCAUUAGCUUGUUGGUAAGGUAACGGCUUACCAAGGCUACGAUGGGUAGGGGGUCUGAGAGGACGGCCCCCCACAUUGGUACUGAGAUACGGACCAGACUCCUACGGGAGGCAGCAGUGGGGAAUAUUGGACAAUGGGGGCAACCCUGAUCCAGCGAUGCCGCGUGAGUGAAGAAGGCUCUCGGGUUGUAAAGCUCUUUCGCAGGGGAAGAAACGGCGGCGGCCAACACCCGCCGCAACUGACGGUACCCUGACAAGAAGCACCGGCUAACUACGUGCCAGCAGCCGCGGUAAUACGUAGGGUGCGAGCGUUAAUCGGAAUUACUGGGCGUAAAGCGUGCGUAGGCGGCCGUGCAAGUCAGAUGUGAAAGCCCCGGGCUUAACCUGGGAAUUGCGUUUGAAACUGCGGGGCUGGAGUUUGUCAGGGGAAGAUAGAAUUUCGUGUGUAGCGGUGAAAUGCGUAGAUAUACGAAAGAAUACUUAUAGCGAAGGCGUUCUUCUGGGGCAAUACUGACGCUGAGUCACCAAAGCGUGGGGAGCAAACAGGAUUAGAUACCCUGGUAGUCCACGCCGUAAACGAUGUGUGCCAGCCUUGGGGAGAUGUAAUCUUUCUGGGGCGCAGCUAACGCGUUAAGCACACCGCCUGGGGAGUACGG